GUUGCGUUUCAACCGCCGUCGAGGUUUCUUGCGUGUGUUUUGUUUGGUGUGUGUUUUCUCUAUAACGAAGCUGAGGUUUCGAUGAACCUUCUUUUUUUUGGGGAAUUUCGCGGAAGGGAAAAAACCUUGUGUUCUUUUCGAUUCGUAUGUGUCAUUUUACACGACUUUUUGGGUCAAAACACAUCUGUUUAUAAUCUGUGAAUUUUAGUGAAAACAUUUAGCCGACUUUGAUUGCAAAAUUGAAGAGAAGUUUUGUUGCUUGAAGUGUACAUUGUGAAGAAAAGCUGAUCGUGAGAAAGUUCGGUUGUGAAGGGUGGUGAACGGUGAUUUUUUUUAUUGAUUGGAAUUAAUAAUAUACAGGCGACAGGCGCCCGACAUUGUUGAUACAGUGUGCGACGAAUAGUUUCUUCAAACCGACAUCCAAGUGACCUGUUACGAACUGCUCCAAAAAAAACCUACGAAAUUCAUCAGAACAACUCCCUUGUGAGCGGUGCAUUCGGUCUGGAACAACCUUAUAAGGACAGUGCUGAUUUGUCGCAGUCGUUGAAUACAGUUUUUGGCCAGUGGACACUGACCGCGCAAACUAGGCGGAAGCCGGAAUAAAAUCGUCGGUCGACAGUCGGUUGCAUACAACAAACAACACAAAAAAAAAAGAAGCAAAUCGUUAAAUGAAGUUAAAAUAUAUAAACCGGUGUGGUUGGUGGUAGAUAGCUAUACCCAAAACGAGGUUUCUGUCCCGUCCCGAAGCUUCUGCUGGAGAAGCUGGCUGGUGUGUGUUGCUGCUGCUGUCGUCCCCAAAACGGUGUCGGCCGCCGGGGCCAAAAAGAUAGCAUUAAUAAUAAAUGAAAUAAGAAUAAUAACGUUCCGGUGAGUGGCAGAAGAAGAAGAAGUGUAGUGCAAGAAGAAACGCGAAAAACGCUGUUAAGUGUGGAAUUUUUGACGGUGUUUUAGCUUGUUGUUUUUGUUGCUGCUGCUGUUGAUGCUUUUGAUAUUGUUGUGCUUUGCAACAACUGGUGAAGGUUGAAAUUUGCGCGGCGCGGUGGUUUAAAUAUUUUUGACAGCGUGAUUUCUCGUUGCUGGCCCGCUUGCUGAGAACGUGUUUUGUGUCGUGGCAUUUCUCUGCUGGAACGUGUUAAUUUUUUUUUCUUGGCCCGUUUAAGGCCCGAUUGCCGCACCGAGCCAGCCGCUUCUGCUGCUAUUGCUACUGCUGCUGCUGCCACUGCUGCUUCUCCAGUUGCUGUUGUUGAAACAUAAAAAAAAUCAACAUUAACACAGGUUCAAGUUGGAAAUUUUGUUCGGUUGCUCCUAAAUGGAUUAACGCCGCUGCUACUAUUCGGUACUCCGACCAACCGGCCGACCCGCUGACAAUCCAUCGUGCCGUGGCGCAGAGGCGUGCGAAAGGAAGAUAACAACUAACCCACUCCACUGGUAU